rnacentral:rRNA from 1 species
UACGGAGGAUGCAAGCGUUAUCCGGAAUGAAUGGGCGUAAAGGGUCCGCAGGUGGCAGUGUAAGUCUGCUGUCAAAGAAUGAGGCUUAACCUCAUCAAGGCAGUGGAAACUACACAGCUAGAGUACGGUCGGGGCAGAAGGAAUUCCUGGUGUAGCGGUGAAAUGCGUAGAGAUCAGGAAGAACACCGGUGGCGAAAGCGUUCUGCUAGACCUGUACUGACACUGAGGGACGAAAGCUAGGGGAGCGAAUGGG